GGCCCCAUAGUUCAACGGAUAGAAUACUGGAUUCCGGUUCCAGCGAUAUGGGUUCGAAUCCCGUUGGGGUCACCA
rnacentral:tRNA from 1 species